rnacentral:rRNA from 1 species
CGGUUUCCGUAGGUGAACCUGCGGAAGGAUCAUUG